AAUGGCACGUGCUUGCAGUCCCAGCUACUUGGGACUGGGGUAGGAGGAUCACUUGAGCCCAGGAGUUCUGGACUAUUGGGUGCUAUGGCGAUCGGGUGUCCACAUUAAGUUUGGCAUUAGUUUGAUGACCUCCUGGGAGUAGAGGACCACCAAGUUGCCUAAGGAGGAUGAAUCAGCCCAGGCAGGAAAUGGAGUGUAAUGAUCAGUUGUGGAAUUGUGCCUGUGAACAGCCAGUGUAUUCCAGCCUGGGCAACACAGCGAGAUCCUGUCUCU
ensembl:misc_RNA Metazoa_SRP Metazoan signal recognition particle RNA